CCCACUUAAGAACUGAACCGUUGUUAAGUUACUCAUUUAGUGUGUGUUUGACGAGUUCGUGUACUGAAAAAAGCAUAAGAACUUGACCGAACGUAUAUACCUCUUCGUGUGUGUUUGACCAGUGAGUGUUUAGAGACAUAGUAAGAACUGAACCAAAACUUAAAUUACUCUCUUAGUGGAAUUUUGACGCGUGGGUGAAAGUUUAAUCAAAUGGUGGAGUGAAAACCUAACAGUGUAAGAGACUCAAUUCGGACAUAAGGCGCCUUCUUUGUGGUUUAGUUACCAGGAAAAGUUAAGCAAAAUACGGAGAAGUAGAAAUAUAGUAUAAAAGUGAACCGCUACUACUUCUACUAUCUCCACCACCACUACUACUACUACUACUACUACUUCAAGAACUGCAACUACCUAUACUACCACCGCCUUUGCCUCCACUACUGUCACUACCAUCACUGCUACCACCCAUACGUCCUCUACCACACUGCUACCUCUGUUUCCAUCGCCCUCACCAACACCACCGUCGCCGUGUCUGUUAUCGCCGCCAGGACUCAAGAUUUUACCCGGCGGCGUUCAGUCACCUGGAUGGGAUGACAGCUCAAGACGCCAAACAAAAAGCAAAAAAAAAAAAAAAAUCGUACUCUGUGAUGUCCUUCCACCGAGCUCAGGUUAACUACUUCACAGCCGCGCCCCGUCACACACCUUGAGUCACGCCACACAGGUUUAGCGUCAAGGCGUCAUCGGGAAGACAUCUGCAAG